AUGUCUAUGUGGGAGGCCCUAGAGCAGUCCUGGGCAGGGGUCUCUGUCCCCUGUCCAGUGUCCCCCGUCCCAUGUCCUAUCCCGUGUCCCAUCCCCUGUUCCCUGUCCUGUCCCGUGUCCCGUCCUGUGUCCCCAGUCCCGUGUCCCCCAUCCCGUCACAUCAUGUGUCACAUCCUGUGUCCCGUGUCACAUCCCGUGUCCCGUCCCAUGUCCCCCAUCUCAUGUCCCAUCCUGUGUCCCAUCCCCUAUCCUGUCCCAUGUCUCGUGUUCCCUGUCCUGUAUCCUCUCCUCUGUCCCCUCCCGUGUCCCAUCUUGUUUUCCCUGUCCCCUCCCCGAUCCCAUUCCCAUGUCCCCUGUCCCGUGUCCCCAUUCCCAUGUCCCCUGUCCCGUGUCCCCUGUCCCGUGUCCCCCGUCCCGUGUCCCAUUCCCGUGUCCCAUUCCCGUGUCCCCUGUCCCGUGUCCCCUGUCCCGUGUCCCAUUCCCGUGUCCCCUUCCCGUGUCCCCUGUCCCCUGUCCCAUUCCCGUGUCCCCUGUCCCAUGUCCCCAUUCCCGUGUCCCCUGUCCCGUGUCCCAUUCCCCUGUCCCAUUCCCCUGUCCCAUUCCCGUGUCCCCAUUCCCGUGUCCCAUUCCUGUGUCCCAUUCCCGUGUCCCCAUUCCCGUGCCCCAUUUCCCUGUCCCAUUCCUGUGUCCCCAUUCCCGUGUCCCCAUUCCCGUGUCCCAUUCCCGUGUCCCAUUCCCGUGUCCCUGUCCCGUGUCCCAUUCCCCUCUCCCACUCCCGUGUCCCAUUCUCGUGUCCGCUGUCCCGUGUCCCCUGUCCCGUGUCCCAUUCCCGUGUCCCAUUCCCGUGUCCCCAUUCCCGUGUCCCAUUCCUGUGUCCCCAUUCCCGUGUCCCCAUUCCCGUGUCCCAUUCCCGUGUCCCACUCCCGUGUCCCAUUCCCGUGUCCCACUCCCGUGUCCCCAUUCCCGUGUCCCACUCCCGUGUCCCACUCCCGUGUCCCAUUCCCGUGUCCCCUGUCCCGUGUCUCCUGUCCCGUGUCCCAUUCCCGUAUC
rnacentral:lncRNA from 1 species